rnacentral:rRNA from 1 species
GAUGAACGCUGGCGGCGUGCUUAACACAUGCAAGUCGAACGGAAAGGCUCCUGCUUGCAGGGGUACUCGAGUGGCGAACGGGUGAGUAACACGUGGGUGAUCUGCCCUGCACUUCGGGAUAAGCCUGGGAAACUGGGUCUAAUACCGGAUAGGACGAUGGGUUGGAUGCCAUUGUGGAAAGUUUUUCGGUGUGGGAUGAGCUCGCGGCCUAUCAGCUUGUUGGUGGGGUAGUGGCCUACCAAGGCGUCGACGGGUAGCCGGCCUGAGAGGGUGUACGGCCACAUUGGGACUGAGAUACGGCCCAGACUCCUACGGGAGGCAGCAGUGGGGAAUAUUGCACAAUGGGCGCAAGCCUGAUGCAGCGACGCCGCGUGGGGGAUGACGGCCUUCGGGUUGUAAACUCCUUUCGCUAGGGACGAAGCGCAAGUGACGGUACCUGGUGAAGAAGCACCGGCUAACUACGUG